CACGUAGGGGGCAAGCGUUGUCCGGAAUUACUGGGCGUAAAGCGCACGUAGGCGGCUUUGUAAGUUAGAGGUGAAAGCCCAGGGCUUAACCCUGGAAUUGCCUUUAAGACUGCAUCGCUAGAAUCGUGGAGAGGUGAGUGGAAUUCCGAGUGUAGAGGUGAAAUUCGUAGAUAUUCGGAAGAACACCAGUGGCGAAGGCGACUCACUGGACACGUAUUGACGCUGAGGUGCGAAAGCGUGGGGAGCAAACAGG
rnacentral:rRNA from 1 species